UUCCGGAAUUGAAAGAACAAACACGAACGUCAAGAACGUGGUCUGGUCAGUCUUCCCGCGGUAGUAGUUGGACUAACAGAAAGAAAGAGUACGCCGGGAAAGUCUUUGUAUAGUAGAGGUAAAGCAGUCCGUUCACUAGGUGGACCCACGCCGAUAGUUAGAAUACUCGACCAAACGCCACUAUGUUUCCGAUGUUAAGUGUAGCUGUUGCACUGUAUGAUACAGAGACGGUAGUUGCUGUCACCAAGAAUGAAGACCCAUCAGCUACGGCUGUACCUAAAUAUGUCGUCGACGGGAGAUGGAGCUACCUUAGCCGGAGGGAGAAGGAAGGCCCAUCAGCUACUGCUGUACCUUCAGCUUAACCUGGGGGAAAGUGCAUCCGUCAGAACGAAAGAAUUUACAAGAGCCGUUCAUUUCCUGUUACCAUACAUGUACGGACAACGAACGGAAUCGUCAUUACUAUGAAUACAAAUGCACAAUUGACCAAUACCUAUAACAAGAUACCUCAUAGAGCUCGGAAGAACACCCAUGGACCGGUACCGAGGAACCGGAACAGUGUCAGGUAAAACAACCCUGAUGCUCGGCGAGCUUUUACGUUCAAUACAUCUACAACACUUUAGGUACUCCUAACCUAAACGGUAAUUUAAGGGAAAGUCCUUCUCGUCUUCGUAGUUUCUCACGGAUUAUGAGGUCAAAGCGCUGAACAGUGUUCACACAUCACUUCUGCGGUCGUCAACACAAGUCGUUUAAGAAUACCAGCUACCUAUAAAGACCAUGACGAGUGACGCACGUUGACCUAAACCACUAAUACGGAGUAGUCAGUAUGGUAAGUAGAAGACCAGACAGUUCACCUAACGACACGAUACGUCUAAACACAACCGUGGUGACCAACGUAACUAGAAGGAGCGGGUGUUCAUAACCUUUUGCUCCUAGUGUUAGCUACGACAGCUCUUCAAGGAGGCUUAUGUUGUUUACGAUCCAGGUUACUGCAUACGGAUGUGACUGUAGUGUAGUUAUUGUUCGGUAAAGUCUCUAUUCGACCCAGUCCCUCCGAUGCCCAGACACAAGUUCCCACACGAUAACGGCCCGUUACAAGUACAACGACAGUUCUACGAUCUCCCGUUAGGAUUGACGUUACCUCUUCUAAAGUAGUUACUUCAGAGGUGGUAGCCAUCCUAGCUAGUGCAUUUACACCACGCAGAGUACCCUAAGAAGAGUCUCCUUUACUCCUCUCGUGACCAAAUGCUCAUGUACGGAGUUCCAAGAGACCUGUUCAUGUAGAAGAGUCGAUUCUUCUCAAAGAGGACCCUGUUCGAGCGGCUCUAUCGAAACCCGUAACGGUCCCCCUAGCUGAUGGAAGUAGUCCCAACACUAUACGUCUAAGAGGUGAAACUGUAGUUCGGCGUGUUGUAGGAAGAUCUGUCGUUAAAACAGGGUUUUCAACGACUAAAGCCAGAGCGGUUUGACAUGGGUUCCCUGUUCUCAAAACACGGUAGCUCUCGAGAUGCCCCUUGACAACCUAUGUAUCGAGGACUCUACUAUAGAGCCUCAAAACCCCAGUAUAGCUCGUUCAGACUACAAAUGUCGAAACCCUACGACGACAACCUCUACCGACCUCCUUCUUCCUUGCGGCUAGGCUUACGUCGCUUGAGCUCGGUUCGUAUGAUGGGCAGUACCCACAUACUAUCUGAUUGACUUGUUCUUCACACACUCUAUAGAGGGCAACGACUGUACGUACUCAACCUCUCCUUCGACACAUAGCAACCUGAUACCACGUAGGUCUACUUCAGAUUACUGUCCGGCUGCUACUCGCUCCAGUAUCUCUACGACCUUCCACCGAAGCUACCGGACGUCUACGGAAGGUCCGGUAAGAAGACGCUGCUACUCGUGUGGCGACAAGGCCUAAGAAUGGGAAACAAUAGGCUCGACUGGCUCUAGAGCCUCCUCCUACUCUAGAGUCUAAGAAUACAAAGGGCCCAGGAUACUUGAAGAUACACCUUUGUACAUUAUUUUAGAUCGUCAAUUUCUCCUAUAUAUUGAGGUUGACGAAUUAACCAUCAUCUUAGAUCUUACAUUAGUAGAAAGACCUUCUGUGUAUAAUAGGCUUAUAUACUUAUUGUUGAACACUUUUUACAUAAUACCACUAAGUCCGUCUCCGUUUGGUUUUGUACUACAUUCUUUACGUCUUUUUAGGUAAAAGCUGUCGACAACCACUGCUAUAAAAAGACAACGGGGUAGGAGA
rnacentral:rRNA from 1 species